rnacentral:ncRNA from 1 species
GGUUUCCCUUCGUCCGCCGGACGGAGGGAUAAGAGGGAACCGGGUGCGAAUCCCGGACAGUUCCCGCUGCUGUAAGCGUCAUAGGCCGCAGACACGUCUCGAGCCACUGUUCCCUGCGGGGAGCGGGAAGGCGUCUGCGGAUCGGCGCGAGUCAGAAGACCUGCCUCCG